rnacentral:rRNA from 1 species
AUUGAACGCUGGCGGCAUGCUUUACACAUGCAAGUCGAACGGUAACAGGGUGCUUGCACCGCUGACGAGUGGCGAACGGGUGAGUAAUGCGUCGGAACGUGCCGAGUAGUGGGGGAUAACGCAUCGAAAGGUGUGCUAAUACCGCAUACGUACUGAGGUAGAAAGUGGGGGACCUUCGGGCCUCACGCUAUUCGAGCGGCCGACGUUUGAUUAGCUAGUUGGUGAGGUAAAGGCUCACCAAGGCGACGAUCAGUAGCGGGUCUGAGAGGAUGAUCCGCCACACUGGGACUGAGAGACGGCCCAGACUCCUACGGGAGGCAGCAGUGGGGAAUUUUGGACAAUGUGCGCAAGCCUGAUCUAGCCAUGCCGCGUGUCUGAAGAAGGCCUUCGGGUUGUAAAGGACUUUUGUCCGGGAGCAAAUGCCUGGUGUUAAUAGCACUGGGAGCUGAGAGUACCGGAAGAAUAAGCACCGGCUAACUACGUGCCAGCCGCCGCAGUAAUAC